rnacentral:misc_RNA from 1 species
GAUGAGAACGUAGCGAAAUGCGAUACGUAAUGUGAAUUGCAGAAUUUCUGAAUCAUCGAAUCUUUGAACGCACCUUGCGCUCUGUGGUUAUUCCGCAGAGCAUGUUUGUUUGAGUGUCGCGAUACUUCUCAACCCCGCUUCAUUAACUUGAAGUAGUUUGGGCUUGGAUCAUGGUCGUUGCCGGCAUUAGCCAGGCUCGAUUGAAAUACAACAAGCUGGAUGAUGCUAUUAGCGGCUUGAACCUAACGUUGUAAUUACUUAUUCGUUAGGCUACGCUUUCAGUGUUCAAUGAGCUUACCGAAUUGAUUAAGAACUUUAUUGUUCAAUUUGACCUCAAAUCAAGCAGGACUACCCGCUGAACUUAAGCAUAUCAAUAAGCGGAGGA